GCCGCCAAGAAUGUGGAACUGGCUUUUUGGUGCCUUUCCUUUGUCCAGAGGCUCUCCGAGUGGGCAGGGUAUGGAGAGAGAGAGAGACAGGAAUGGGGCUUUCUAGAUCUCACGAGGGGGAGCUAGAGGUUCCAACCGAACAGAAGGAAAGGGAGUCGGGGCAGGAGGGACACCUGGCCGCCAGCGUGGACUCUGCAGCAUGGCAGCACCAUCAGGAGAGACCCUGACUCCACAAGGUGGAAGACACGGUUGUGAUCAACUGCCUCAUAUACCUACCACCAUGACUUCCCAGUGGAUGAUACUCUCAAACAAUGCAGAUGACAUAUAUUCCCUAUAUUUUGGAGUUUAAUAUAAAAUCAGGAGUAUCAACAACACGAGAGAGUAUGAAUAAAUGGAACAUUUUUUGUGAAGCCUGUUCUCCAAAAGGUGUCGGAUCAUGCUGAAAGAAAUUCAAAGCUGAACAAAGGAGUGAUAAACCUCCUUCGUGGCUCAGAAAAUGCAUGCUAAGAUCUCACAACAGCCAGGCAUGGGGAUGCUGUAUCCAAGCACUGGAAAGGCAGAGCAGGCGACUUCAAGUUCAAGGCCAGCCUAGGCCACACAGAGUUCAAGGCUAGCCUAAGUUACAUAGCAAGACUAUCUCAAAAACCAAAAAGCAAACUAAAAAAGAAGUUGGUACCUGCCCCCAGUCACUACCAUCCUUCAGCAUGGCUUCAUUUCCCAAAGGAUCUGAAAUCUCCUCAGCCACCAACCGGGGACCAAGUGUUCAAAUAUGUGAGCCUAUGGGGACAUUUCUGACUGAAACCAGCACAAUCCUUUCUUGUUUCAGUUGAUCCCACCACCACUGACUAAAUAGAAACAGAACUCACUGAGCAAAAGUUAUCUACAGGGUUAAGACAAGUAUACACUUUUGAUCUUUCUGAUACAUUUCCUUAAUUUCACCUCUAUAUUAAGCUUUUAAAUACUAUUAUCUUUUUUCUCCAUUGGUAUGUAUUAAUUAUACAAAAUUCUAGGUUUCAUUAUGACAUUUUCAUCAUGUACUUAAAGUAUUUUGGUCAUACUCACACACCACCACCACCACCACCCCAUGAUUGACAUGUGGGGUCCCAGCUCACUGUAGACUGUGCCACCCUGGGCAUUUCCUGCCCCUGCUUCCUUCAGUGGUGGACGAUGAUAAGGAAGAGUAAGCCAAAUAAAGCCUUUUCUAUCCAAGUUGCUUUUGGUCAUGGUAUUUAUCGCAAAAGUGAAAGUGAACUAAAAAAGAAGUUGGUGCCUGCCCCCAGUCACUACCGUCCUUCAGCAUGGCUUCAUUUCCCAAAGGAUCUGAAAUCUCCUCAGCCACCAACCGGGGGCCAAGUGUUCAAAUAUGUGAGCCUGUGGGGACAUGUCUCACUGAAGCCAGCACAAUCCUUUCUUGUUUCAGUUGAUCCCACCACACUGUAGAUCGGACGGUUCGUAGGGGUGGCUGUGUCCUUUCAAUAUGUCCAUCCAUUGUGGACAAUGUGGAUAUGAAUCUGAUUUUUUCCUUCUCAGCACUGACACAGGCUGGUUCCAGAAAGUUCUCUGUAGGCAGCCUACAUAGGAAAGAAGUUCUCUGCCUCUUUUCAACUGUGACUGAUACACCCGACUCCUUAUGGGAACGAUCAUUAUUUUCAGCUUCUAGGAAAUAGGUGGCAGCCCAAGUGAUUGGUUUACAACAUGGCUACAAGCAUGUUCCUCCUAAGCCAGUAGGAAGUCAUAAGUUUAAGGAUGAUUACACAAUCACUUUUGCCUCUUAAUGCUACCAAGUCAAGUGAGUGACAGCUCACGUUCAUAGGCUACAAUGAUACUCGAGGGAAAUUAGACAGGGUGUAUUCUACAGGGACUGGAAACCUUGCAGGCCAGCAGAAACCCUGGUCCCCAUGUUGUGCGUACGUUUGAAUCUUCCUUUUAGAAUCUAAAGACCUGGAACGCAAGCUGAGCCUUGAAACUUCCCUUGCCAGCAUUUCCUCAGUCCUAGUACAAUCCCGGGCUGUGAUUGUGAAAGGGUAAAGGAAAAGGAGUCAUGUUUAUCGAUCACCACACGUGUGGCCUCUGUCUAACUUUCCACACUGUAGCAAGGAACCACAUUCAAAGCAAGGAGGCGCUGUGAGGAACAUGGGACCACAGCUGAGUGCACUUGCUCAUCCGAACGUCUGACAUCGUGCUGAAAGGCUGGAGGUAUUAGUUCUAGAACGUUCCUCUGUGUGAUUGGGUAUGCUUCUGAUGGCCUUAGAAAACAUGGAUUCGGUAUCUCUCAAUGUUGCAUGAACUUUUAAUUUUUAAAACAAAACAGAUUUUAGCUGCACAGGAUUUAAAGCAGACUGUAGCUCUGUAACUACAUUUAAGGGCUAAAGUAUUUCCUCUUGAAUCAUGAUCCACAUAUUUUAUUAAUCUAGGAAUAAAAUUUACCCCAGGGUGGUACUGCACAUACUUAAUCAUAGUCAAAUCUUUCUUCAUCUAGAAGAUCAAAUAUAGCUAAUAUGGCUUAGAAAUGGGAACUACAAAAAGCUUUAAAAUGAUGCCACAUUUACAUUCAAACGCCACCUAACACAACUUCCACCCUGCAACCAUAGGGGCUUUGAAGCAUCAUUGUCUUUUCCCAGAGCUAUCAAGAUAAGAACAAAAGGACUUCAGUUUUCCCAUGAUUUUAUUAAAUAUGUAGACUUUCAACAGUGCUAAGAAAUAUGUAGCACAUGACAAUUAUAGAUGGAAAACUAAAAUAAAGCACCUUUUUUUAUUCUGUUGUCUCAACAGUUGUAGGCCAGUUAUACAACUGAAAACAAAAAAUAUGAAUUGGUCAUACAUUAUAGAACUGACUCAUAAAAUAUACAAACAUCUCAAGUAUUUCACCUGUGUAAAAAAUGCAUUGAAGUCUUUGUUGUGCCAUAUGGUAAUAGGAUGGAGAAGGUUCAAGGGUGCUUGAAGUACAAGUUAAAGGACCUGAAUUGGAAUCCUCAGCACCCACAGAAAAAACAGGUUGCAUGCCUGCAACCCCACUGUUGGGGGACAGGGACAGGUUGUAUACCUGCAACCCCAGCGUUGGGGGACAGAGACAGGUUGUAUGCCUGCAAUCCCAGUGUUGGGGGACAGGGACAGGCUGUAUGGCUGCAACCCCAGAAGUCAAAACAGCAAGCCUUACAUUUUGUGAGAGAACCUCCCCCAAAGGUAAGGUAUCGUCCUCUGGCAUCACAUGUCACAUACAGCACAUGUCCCCCUCCCACAAUAAAACAAAUAAUAAAAAGAUAUCUUAAGAACUUGGGCUAAAUAUUAAAAAGAGAUUUUCUAAUGCCUCUUUUUAAAGAUUUAUUUCUUUCUAAUUUUAUGUGUAUGAGUGUUUGCCUGCAUAUAUAGAGGCCAUUGGGUCCCUGGGACUGGAGUUAUAGACGGUUGUGAGUGGCCAUGUGGGUGCUGGAAAUUGAACCCAGGUCCUCUGUGAGAGCAGAAAGUACUCUUAACGGCAGGGCCAUCUCUCCAGCUGCUAACCGCUCUCUUAUAAAUCUUAACAUUUUUAAGAAGAACUAAAAUGCUUCGUUCUUCAUCUUUGCCAAGACAAGUAUUUUUUAAAAAUGGAAGAAAACGCCUAUUUCCCCGGUUGUUUGGAGUGUCUCAGUGUGGCUGGGCACUUGUACACAUUCACACAUGGCACACACUCAGCCUUGAGUUGAGACGGGCGGAAUCCUCUGAGAAAAACCACAGGCCAGAAGUCAGUUUGGCAAUGCUGGAUUUCUACGGGAGGGCACAUUCCCUGCCUUGGCGGGUGACAGAGUGGGCUUUGCUCCAGUUCAAUGUUUGCACUGGAUCCAUGAGAACAGGCUGGUGAUGAGAGAGCCCUGGAGUCUCCUCACGCGGAGGGGAAGUCAGUGAGCAGCACACACUCCUAAACAGGAGCCAGGAACCGGGGUUCAAACCUCAAGGGUUUCCGGUAAAAACAGAGCAGAUAGGUAGUACCUACCACCUCUCUCCACCACCUCUGUCGCUACAAAUGAGAAAAAAAAAAUGGGCAAAACAAAAGUCAGCAGCUUGGAAGUGUCGGAAUGCUACAAGGAGUCUGAGAAGUAAACUUCUGCAGGAAGAUACAUGGAGAAGCAGUAGCUGCCAGCUGAGAGGACCAGCAGGCAGUGAGUUCCGGGCAUGCUAGGGUGGGCAUAUGCAGAGUAUGCAUGCCUGGUACUGCAUCUUUUCUACUAGAGCUACAACUUGGAAGCCAGGUGCUGGUGGCACAUGCUUUUAAUCCCAGUACUCAGGAGGCAGAGGGGGCAGAUCUCUGAG